AGCCAGAGCAGCCACCUCCAGUCCAGAACUUCCAGGAAUGGGAUGGGAGAGAGACAAAGAGAGGGAGAAAGGAGUGAAGAAGACCCUGAGACCAGGCGGCGAAGAGGGGAUGGGGUCUCGCUAUGUUUCCCAGGCUGGACUCAAAUUCCUAGCUCAAGUGUUCUUCCUGCCUCAGCCUCCUGAGUAGCUGGGAUUACAAGCAUGGCCCACCACACCCAGCUCUUUAUUGCCCUUCUUUUUCUAUGUUGCAUUGUAAUUAUGUUUUUAUACUUUGCCUAGUCAUUCAUUCGAAAGCAUUUAUUGAGUGCUAACUAUAUGCUAUACAUUGUGCUAGAAAAUGAUGCCAAAAUAUUGUCCGUAUUCAGAGACAAGUAAACAGAUUUUAUGAGGACAGUGUAAUGCAUGUUAUAAAAGAUGUGAAUAUAAGGGUAAUUAGUGCAUUCAGGAGACUUUCACCCAGCCUGGAGGAGUCAGAGAAGGCCUCUCAGGGAAAGUGAAUCUUAAAAUAUGAGUAACUGUUAUCUAGGUAAGGAAGACACAGAAGUGUUCCUCCAGGCCGAGGGAGCUGAGUACCCAAAGACUUGCAGUCAAGGAAGCCUGGCACAGGGCACUGAGACUGUGGGUAGUUAAUUCUGGCUGGCCAGGAAGACAAACGGACAGGAGCAGAGAUACACCAGGUAGGUGGAGACAAUUCAUGAAGGGCCUCUUAUGGCAUAGCGGGAGUUGGAUUUUAUCUUGAAGGUAAUGGGGGAUCAGUGCCAGAUCUCCUUAAGCAGGAAUGGUGGAUAAAAUCAAACUUGGGAUCCUCUAACAAUUUAUGAAGGCCCCACCAACAACUUAUGGAGAAUGGAUUAGAGAAAGGUAGGAGUGAAGUCAGGCACACCUUUUAGGAGGCUUUUACAAUGAUCUACUAAAAAAAGGAUUAUGAAAGCUUGACGGAGGGUUGUAACAGAGGGGAUUGGAGUAGUUCAUGAAUCCUUCAGAUAUUUUGGACUUAUAUUAGUUGAAGUAUGUCUAGUUGCUAUGAAAGAUAGUUUCAAAAAUCUUGGUGGCAUAAAGUACUAGGUGAUUGUUUCUUACGUGAAAUUCAAAGCAGGCCUUUCUGCCAGGCAGGUAGCCUUUCACAUUGUCAGUCCGGGGCCCCAGUUCCUUUUAUCUUACAGCCCUGGGCUCCUCUAUGAUCUUGGAGUUUUCAGCUUUUACAACGUUAGCAUUUCACCAUUCUGGUGGUUGGAGCAUGAGCUUGGGGAAAUCCACUUGGAGUAUUUUAUGGGACAUGCCUAGGGAGAAAAAUACAGAUAAAGGGAGAAAACGUAUCAAGGAUGUCUCCCAGUUUUCAGAUAUGGUCAGGAAUGGGGUUGGGGAGGAGCUAAAUGGUUCAUGCAAUUGUGGACAUACGGAGUUUGAGGAAAGACAGCCAGGCAAAGGCCUCCAGUAGGACAUUGAAUACAGGAGUUGCUCUGAAGCUCAGCAAAGUAUAGACUGAAAAAAUAGAGUAGGGUAUCAUAUAAUAAUAAUAAUAAUAAUAAUAAUAAUAAUAAUAAUAAGAAGAAGAAGAAGAAGAAGAAGAAGAAGAAGAAGGAGAAGUAUAGCUAGCAUGCAUUGAAUGUGUAACAUUUACUAGGUAUGCUAUGGGGUGGGUUCUAUUAUUAUCUCCAUUUUACAGGAAAGAAAACUGAUGCUUAAGAGGUAGAAUAACUUUGCCACAUGUUUGAAAAGUGAGAAAGUCAGAAUUUGAAUCCCACAUAUCUGACUCCAGUUGAAGAGAGUUGAUGAACCUAAGUGAAGAGGACCAGUGACAGUCCCUUGGGGAAUACUAUUUUUACAGGAUGGGUAGAGGAAGAGGUAACCACAAAGGAUGUUGAGAAGAGCAGUGAGAAAGGCAGGACAUAUGAUGGAAUCCCAGCCUUAGUGAGGGAGUGUGGGACACAAGAGAGUGGGCUGUGGGAAUCAGAGGAAGAGUGGUUUCAGGAGAAGGAGAGUCAGAAUACACCCUGGGAGGCUAAAUGGACUAAGGUCGAGAAGGAAAAACUAUUCACUGAACACAGCAAUGAGGAUGUUGUUGGUGGCCUUGCUGAAAGCACCGGGCAGCUAGGCUUAAGUGAGUGUGUGUCAGUGAGGGGUGAGAAAGGUCACUGCAGGUGCCUCUAACAAGAAGGUGGGCUUAAAGUGGGAGGGAGCAAUAAGGCAGUAGCUAGAUAGAGAUGUAGGUACAAGGGAGAGCUUUUUGUUGAAAAUGAAAGCAACAAGAAAGGAAAAGAGACAGCCAAGUGGCUAAGGUUGAUUUCCAGGAGAGGAGGUAGUUGAGGGAAUGAGAUGGUGGCGAACAAAGAUAGGGAAGGUCUGCAAGUCAGGUGGAGAGAUUAACCUGAGAAAGCGGGCAGGGGCAGAAGGAUGACAAGCACAGAUGGGGCCACACAUGAAAGUUAA